UCAGGGCUGUUUAUUGUAUUGGAUCAGAUCAAGUAAAAGAGUCAUUGUGAUGUAUUGAUUGGACAUGUUCUAAUAGUUUCAGCGCUUUGGACAGAUGUUUGCUGUGGUUUAAAAUGAAGACUGUAUUCUCUGUAGGUGAAUAUGGAAGGGUGGUUAGAGUUUCCCCCGGUCUCCAGUAAAGUGGAGCAGCAGAAGAUCCAGCUCUGAUCAGCAGCUCCACACCUCUGUACUCAGACUGCUCUGCUGGAGGAACACCAUCAGCUCACCUGCUGCAGAAUUAAUGCUGUCCUGCUCCACGUCUUCACCUGAUCUCUUGCCAACUUUCCUACUUGGAUAAAGUUUAGCUUUACAGACACAAUCUAGAAAAUGUUACAAAGAUGUUAAGAUGCUGAACGAAGAGGAAAGCAUGGAAUCCAGCAAAAUCUCAAGAACUCAACCAAUGCAGAAAAAUACAGCCACUGGAGAUAAACCAUAUCACUGUUCUGACUGUGGGAAGAGUUUUAAUCAAAAGAAUCAUCUCAAAACACACCAGCGCAUUCACACUGGAGAGAAACCAUUUCACUGCUCAGACUGUGGGAAGUGUUUUACUCAACAAAUUAAUCUUCAACAACACCAGCGCGUUCACAGUGGAGAGAAACCUUAUCACUGUUCAGACUGUGGGAAGAGAUUUGCUACAGAGGGUAACCUUAAAAUACAUCAGCGCAUUCACACUGGAGAGAAACCGUAUCAGUGCUCAGAGUGUGGGAAGAGUUUUAAUCAUCAAACUCAUCUCAGAAUUCACCAGCGCAUUCACACAGGAGUAAAACCAUAUCAGUGUUUAGACUGUGGAAAGAGUUUUAGUCAUCACAGUACUCUCCAGAAUCACCAGCACAUUCACACUGGAGAAAAACCCUAUUAUUGUUCAGAGUGUGGGAGGUUUUUUAGUCUUCAGACUCACCUCCAGAAACAUCAGCUCAUUCACACUGGAGAGAAACCGUAUAAUUGCUCAGAUUGUGGGAAGAGUUUUAAUCAACGGAGCCAUCUCCAACAGCACCAGCACAUUCACACUGGAGAGAAACCGUAUCGCUGUUCAGACUGUGGGAAGAGUUUUACUAGACAGAGUUAUUUCCAACAACACCUGCGCAUUCACACUGGAGAGAAACCGUAUUACUGCUCAGAGUGUGCAGAGAGAUUCAGGUAUUUACAGUCAUUCAAGAAACACAAGUGCAAAAAGAGUAGUCAUGGAAAUGGACAGUGACACACCUAAAACAAUUCCAGAAGGAAACUUCUUGCUUUAAACGAAGCAUAUUUAUUAACAGUCCAGCUUUCAGCCCAUACACUAAAUAUCCUUCCAAGCUAGAUACUGAAGUAAAUGAGCUGCAGUCUAUAGGUAGAGCUCUAUACGUAAGAUAUGGUGAAUGCAAUCACAAAAUCCAUAAUAAGUCCAUAAUUUUUUUUUUACUUUAAAUCUUACUUGAGUAAUGGUGCCAUCAUGGUCAUAUCAUGUUGUCAAUAAUAUUACAUGCUAAAUUCAUCAUACAGGUCUCAUUCAGCUAAAAUCCACUUUUUAACAUUUUAAAAUGUAAUUUUUUUUGUUCUUUGUGAAAUACAAUAGGUCUCUCUAGUUGUAUAUGCAUGCUGCAUAUGAAACUGUUUCUCAGCCUCCAUUGUCUGCAAUAGUUUGCAAAAGAAAAUCCUCAAAAAUACGAGUUGAUCAAAGAUAUGUAAAAUGUCGAGUCCGGGCUUGGCUCGUGCCGUUGAUAACGUUUCUUUGAGAAAUACUUCUAGAAUUCUCGCUUCUGUUCUGCAUCAAUACUGGAACCACCUUUAUUUUCAGCUAAUCCUUUGAAAUCCAUUAGUGAGGCAUGGACCAAUUCUUGAUCCUUUUUUUUAUAGCCAACAUUAUGGCAUCACAUCAAUUUCAAAAGUCAAGGGCGCCGGCUCUGUCUGCCCAGGUUUAGUGCCCGGAGCUACCCGCUCUUUCUACCCGGGUUUAGUGCCCGGAGCUACCCUUUCUGUCUGCCUGGGUUUAGUGCCCGGAGCUACCCGCUCUGUCUACCUGGGUUUAGCGCCUGGAGCGACCCGCUCUGUCUGCCUGGGUUCUCGCCUGUAACGACCGUCUCUCGCCUGGAGAGGUCGGCUCGCCGGCUCGGUCUGCCCGGCUUCAGUGCUUAGAGCGACUGGUGCUGUUCGCCCAGAGAGCCGGUUGCUCUAGGGGCUAACCUUACAAAGCUGGCCAGGGCGCCGGAGAGCGUGCUGUUUGGAUGUUAGCAUAGCCAGCUAGCUAACCCUCCUCCCGCUCAUGGAGGUAGGCUGUCCGUCACAAACCCUGGAGAUAUAAGCCAUUAGCGUUCGCUGAGGGAGGUGACCCUGGCCCCACCCCCAAACUGUCAAAACCACCCCUAUUAAAACUCGAGCGCAAAAAACUCAGUCGAGCACAAACUGCUGCUGCAGGUAAUUCACACAGCGCAUGAGGAAAAAAAGCACCUGAGAGGAGAAAAAUGAAGCUCGAGAGCAACAUUUGCACACACAAACUUUUGUUUGUAAUUUUUUCACCUGGUAAACUCUAUUCUGCUCCUGGCCCUAGUGGCUGUUACUGCCACUGAGUAUUACCUCCAGCUUUAGGCUGGGAGUACAAAACAAAGUUCCUGAUCUGCUGUCUCAAAGCCUUUUGUCUAGAGAUUAUACCCAUGUAGACUCACUGUCAGACUGUUCCAUCAUAGCAGGUCUUUAUCUUCAUGAUCUGCCAACAGUGCUGCUGCAUUCUGGCCCUCAAGCGAGACAACCACAGCUGGAUGACCAUUAGAUAUGCACAUUGUGCAGUCUUUAUGGCCACAUUCACAUUACACACCACAUUGCUCAGAUCAGAAUUGCCUAACCUGACGGUUCACAUUCAUAAAUGUUAGUGACCAGUAUCUGUGUGUAAUGUGAACGGAUCUGUCCCUGAAACGCCUCACAUGUGUACACAAUAAUACCUGUAGAAAUGUCACCUUCUUCACAAACAACAAAAGACGUCAUAUAAGACAACUUGUAGCUUUAUGAAGGGAAAUGAGUGUGUUAGUAGCUCAUAUGUGAAGCAUUUACAAAAGAAAAAGGCCAGGCGUCUUGCUUUGGAUGUUUUUUGCAGCUAUAACUGCACAGCUGCACCAAGAGAUGUGGGGGUAUAAGAUUGUAAUUGUUUAGAUAAAUCCAAGACCAAGGUAGUGCAUGAUCACACUAAAGCAGCGUUUGAAAAAAAAAACAGAAAAGGUAUAAGCUCUAUUUACCAGAAAGCAUAUAUCUGACAUAUAGGUGUGAAAAGGUGGAUACAAGAGUGUUUUAAUGGUGUUGUCAAAUUUGCAGCCCUUCCAUUCAUGAGACUUGGAUAGUUCUUGAUCCAUCUGAUAUUGUUAAAAAGAAUUUAAGAAGAAAAUCUUAUACUGCUGCCUUCCAAAAAAAAUUUUUUUUUUGUUUUCUGUAUUUUUUUUUGUAUUCAGCAGUUUUCUAUGGACUCUGUACUGAUAUGAAUGCUAGCUUCUUUAUGUCUUGAUUAGCAUAGUGCUUAGUGUUCUUAGCAUGUUUCAACGUAAUUUGUAUUCAUGUGUUAAAGUUCUAAUUCUUGUAUUUCUUGUAGUUUUGUCCAACUUCCAAUAAACCAUUAAAAGAGAUGAACUGGG